GGGCAGUGAGGGCUGGAGUGUGGUGUACCAGGGAGGUCUGGUAUAAGGGCACUGAGGGUAGGAGUGUGGGGUGUCCGCGAGGUCUAGUAUAGGGGCAGUGAGGGCUGGAGUGUGGUGUACCAGGGAGGUCUGGUAUAGAGGCACUGAGGGCAGGAGUGUGGGGUGUCAGCGAGGUUUGGUAUAGAGGUACUGAGGGGUGGAGGGUGGUGUACCAGGGAGGUCUGGUAUAGGGGCAGUGAGGAUUUUGAAUAAAUUGGGUUAUAACUCCAUGCCAGGCAUUACAUGGACUAAUAUGGAGCUGGUCCCUCCCUGCACUUACACUACAGUAGCCUCGUUAAUGUAAUUAAUCUGGGCCUGGACUUGCAGGACUCCUUUUCCAGAGGAAGCAGACGUACUGUUACCCACGUCCAUCACACCUGCAGAGCUCAGGUUUCCCAUUUCUACUGCCAGACCUUUGGCCUCAUUUAAUGGCAGUCCCCAGGGUGUCGAAUGCCUAGCUAUGGGGGCCACGGGAUUUUAGGCUUCCCCGUUACUAUGUGUGGUGUGAUUAGGGACCCCGCUCUGGACCUCCGGUCUGCCCGCUGCUUUUCCAUUAUGUAUUCGUGGACAUCUGCCAUAAUCCUUUCCACGGUUUCUGUGGGAGGCGUACCUGGGAAAAAGGCCAGUCUGCUUUGGAGUUCUCUUCCAAACUCAUUCUGUGUGCUGUCCAUAAGAGGUGCUGCAGCAGCUGCCCGGUCUCCCUCCAUGAGUUCAGCAAUAAGGGUAGCUUUGGUUUUAUUGCUGGCAAUAAUUCCCCUUGCUUCCAAUAGUUCUUUUAGCGUGGCCCGUUUCAGGUUGGUAUAGUCUGUCCCCGUUCACUAUCCGUUCGGGUAUAUUCACAUACCCUUUCCUUUCGGUUCCAUACGAAAUAGCAAAUUUCCCAAAUGGCUGUAAC